UGGGUGAAGACUUUACGAACAUUUCUUGUAUAUUGUGGAGAGUGAAUGACGGAUGUGGAGGGAGACUAACCGCCUUUAAGAAAGGAUUCCGACUGCAUAUCUCUCCGUAGCAGUGGAAAAUCCCCCCCCCCCCCCCUCUUGUGUUGAUCUGAUAAUCCUCAGUGCUUGUGUGUUUACUCAGUGUUGAUAGUAGUGCCUUGCGUUGGAGAUCGCUGGGAAAGACGGAGAGACUCCGGUGUACGAUAUAUCUGCCUGCUGUGGUCUGCCCUCCUGCCUUUGUCCAUCUGACCCGCCCUGUCAGGACUCUGAGCCCGAAACGGGAAUACACCACCGAUCUUCUUUCACUGAGUGUGUGGAGUGUGGUGAGUGCUGCUAUAUUGAAGUGUACACACGAGAAGAAUUGUAGUGCCUUUGUGGUGUGUGGUGUUUGUCCGUGGUUGUGUCCCUGGUCGUAGGAAGAGGCCUGACGGAGAGGAGUAGUGUAUUGGUGGCAACCACAGUCUUUACCUUAAGUAAGCUGGAGCUCGGACGUGUUGGAGGCGCCUCUGGAGGAGGUUGGAUGUCGUUGCCCACGCAGCAAUCCCUCGAAGGACAACAGCCGAUCCUCCCCCGUGUGCCCCUUUGUCAAGCUGCGCGGGAAGCCCAGUAUUGUUUGCAGUUUCACCUGUAAGGCCCACCAGCCGUCAGUCAUCGACUAAACCCGUAUCUGCUUGGAAUACAGACCUCUGAAUAUCUUCAGUGGUGAGUAGCGCAUUAACAGCCCAGCCCCGUGAAUACUCACCUGUGUAUUGAACACUGUACUUACAUUGAGAGCUAGAACCCCUGCACGCUAACAGCUCAGCCCUGUGAAUACUUACCUGUGUAUGGAACACUGUACUUACAUUGAGAGCUAGAACCCCUGCACGCUAACAGCUCAGCCCUGUGAAUACUUACCUGUGUAUCGAACACUGUACUUACCUGAGAGCUAGAACCCCUGCACGCUAACAGCCCAGCCCUGUGAAUACCCACCUGUGUAUCGAACACUGUAUUUACCUGAGAGCUAGAACCCCUGCACGCUAACAGCCCAGCCCUGUGAAUACCCACCUGUGUAUCGAACACUGUAUUUACCUGAGAGCUAGAACCCCUGCACGCUAACAGCCCAGCCCUGUGAAUACUUACCUGUGUAUCGAACACUGUACUUACCUGAGAGCUAGAACCCCUGCACGCUAACAGCCCAGCCCUGUGAAUACCCACCUGUGUAUCGAACACUGUAUUUACCUGAGAGCUAGAACCCCUGCACGCUAACAGCCCAGCCCUUUGAAUACUUACCUGUGUAUGGAACACUGUACUUAUUUGAGAGCUAGAACCCCUGCACGCUAACAGCUUAGCCCUGUGAAUACUCACCUGUGUAUUGAACUCUGUAUUUACCUGAGAGCUAGAACCCCUGCACGUCAACUGCCUAGCUCUUGCUUUAAACUUACCUGGAGUGGAGUCGGCGGGAAAUUAAGGGCUGAAGUGGAGUGUUGUCGAGGAAGGGCUGAAGAGGAGUGUUCUUGAGACUGGAAUCCGUAUUUGUGGAUAAAGAAUAGUUCGAGUCAUCAUUAGUUUUAAAGUUUCCUUACCCCUUUCCCCAAACUUUUAAACAAAUAAAAUUGUUACAUUUUAA